rnacentral:lncRNA from 1 species
CUUCGAGUCUCCAGGGGCCUCCUGGGAAGCCAGGGUUCAGUACUGUGUACCAGAGAAAAGGGUUUGUCAGGGCCAUACAGCCAUUAGGUCAGGGGAAUACAGACUGAUUGGAAGUCUUGACUGUUGAAGAUCAGAGCUCUGAGAAACAGGCUGUGUCACGGAGGCAUGCGUGUAGAGCCAUAGGCUGUCACGGCAUAGGCGUGCAUGUGUGAAUGUGUGAACCAGUGCACUUCAGACCUUAGAGUGAAAAGAAUCACCUUGGAUCGUAGUGUGGUGCAUGCUGCCUCAGGAGGCCUGGAGAGGGACUGAGGAAGGCCUGGCCGUCGUGGUCACACUUAGUGUCUGCCUGCCCUUGCCCGUAGAUGUGGAGAAGGGCUGCCACUUGAUGCACGUCCUGAACUGCGUGCUCCUCAACCUCCGCUGGGACCUGAACAAGGCUGUGCUGCAGCAGGUGCUGGAGCUCCUGGAGGACCAGAGCGACAUUGUGAGUACUGGAGACCACUACUACACGGCCUUCUGAGCAGAGCCACGGAGAGGCAGCAGGCAGCUUUACCCCAGGUU